rnacentral:rRNA from 1 species
GUGGGUAGUUUGACUGGGGCGGUCUCCUCCUAAAGAGUAACGGAGGAGCACGAAGGUUGGCUAAUCCUGGUCGGACAUCAGGAGGUUAGUGCAAUGGCAUAAGCCAGCUUGACUGCGAGCGUGACGGCGCGAGCAGGUGCGAAAGCAGGUCAUAGUGAUCCGGUGGUUCUGAAUGGAAGGGCCAUCGCUCAACGGAUAAAAGGUACUCCGGGGAUAACAGGCUGAUACCGCCCAAGAGUUCAUAUCGACGGCGGUGUUUGGCACCUCGAUGUCGGCUCAUCACAUCCUGGGGCUGAAGUAGGUCCCAAGGGUAUGGCUGUUCGCCAUUUAAAGUGGUACGCGAGCUGGGUUUAGAACGUCGUGAGACAGUUCGGUCCCUAUCUGCCGUGGGCGCUGGAGAACUGAGGGGGGCUGCUCCUAGUACGAGAGGACCGGAGUGGACGCAUCACUGGUGUUCGGGUUGUCAUGCCAAUGGCACUGCCCGGUAGCUAAAUGCGGAAGAGAUAAGUGCUGAAAGCAUCUAAGCACGAAACUUGCCCCGAGAUGAGUUCUCCCUGAGACUUUAGGUCUCCUGAAGGAACGUUGAAGACGACGACGUUGAUAGGCCGGGUGUGUAAGCGCAGCGAUGCGUU